CAAAUGAGCUACAUCCCCAGACCCUUGUCACUAUUUUAAAAAGAAAGUGGCAUAUUUUGUGACAGUCAGCAGAAGUCCUUGGACACAUUCAAACCUCAAUGGAACAUUAAUUUAUUCAGCGUAAUAUCACCCUUGGAUUCUCACUUCAUCUAUCUUGGUGAACAGAGAGCGUUUAAAGAGAGGCCCGAGAAGUGGGGAAAAAAAGCAGGCGGUGGGAUGCAGGCCCUGCUCCCCGUCAGGGUAUGUUCUGGAGAAACCUUGAGAAGGCUGAUGCUGUCAGAGUCAGUGCAAUUACUCACUGGAAUAAUGGACAGCUAUCAGGAGCUAAACAGCUUUCCUCCACCUUGCUCUUCCACCAUAAUCCUCUGCCUGACCUCAGGCCCAAAGCAAUGGAGCCAGCUUACAACAGACUGAAACCAUGAGCCAAAAUAAACAUUUCCUCCUCUAAGUUGUUUUUCUCAGAUAUUUGUCACAUCAGUGAAGAGCUGACUAACCAUCCCCCCAACCCUCCAACCCCCCAACUCCCCUGGAGCUCAGUCUGGUGUUGGAUGUCUGGCAGAGUCUUAGAACAAGUUCAUCUGUAUGAGCAGUAUCAAGCA